CCCUUAGAUGUUCUGGGCCGCGCGCGCGCUACACUGACGGAGUCAACGAGUUGUCCUGCAUCGGAAGGUGUGGGUAAUCUUUUGAAACUUCGUCGUGCUGGGGAUAGAUCUUUGCAAUUUUCGAUCUUGAACGAGGAAUUCCUAGUAAGCGUGAUUCAUCAGAUCGCGUUGAUUACGUCCCUGCCCUUUGUACACACCGCCCGUCGCUACUACCGAUUGAAUGGUUUAGUGAGGCCUCGGGACUGGCGCGCUCGAGUAGCAAUACACCUGCGCGCCGGGAACUUGGUCAAACUUGAUCAUUUAGAGGAAGUAAAAGUCGUAACA
rnacentral:rRNA from 1 species